rnacentral:ribozyme from 1 species
UCUCUCUCUCUGAAUAGUGAGAAAUACUGGAGCGUUACUUCGCUUCUUCGAAAGAAAACAAGACAGGAGGCAACGGGAAGUUGAAUUUUUUUUUCUACUUCUUCUUUUUAUAA